GUAAGGAACAGAGGAGGGUCUGCCUCCCUUCCGUCCACGGGCAGAAAGGCUCCUGGAGCAUGAACUUUCUUGGGCUCCUACACUGGCGAAGAUACCCAGGCCCAGGGCUUUUCUUUAACUAUGCUUGUCUAUCGGGUCAAAAUCUAUGAAGAGCUGAUUUCUUAUUUCUCUCCUGGUGACUUCUGAAUGGAUUACUUCACUUGGGAGAGUAUCUGCAUCAGACUCUGUCUAUAAAGAGAAGAGAUGCUGACUCAGAGGAAUGGAAAAAUUGGAGCUCGCUUACCCUGGCCGGUGUGAAGGAGCGCAGUCGCCAGGGCGCAGACGAAGGCGGCGUGCAGCGCCCUCAUGUCAGCUCGCCUCGGUUCUGACAUGAUGCUGCGCUGGGUUUCAGCCUCCCUGAAACAUGAACAUUUCCUGUUUCCUGCUUGUUUGGGUCGGUGCUAACUUGAAGGAGAGGUGUUUGCCUGUUUUUUAGGAAGUGAUGUAAUUCUUCAGGAGCCUGUCAGACCAGCAAGGAUUGCAAAAGAGAAGCUGUUCUUCAAGCACUGAUGCAGUUAGCACGCCUCCCCGGUUCCUUUCCAUCCCGGCCCCACCGUGGGCCUCCAUAUGUUGAAACUGCCCCUGUGGAAACAGUGUCUGUUGCUCGGCUGUCGUUCAGUGUGUGGACCUGCGGGUCCUGGACCACAUGCAUUCUUGCUUUGUGAUUUUGUGCAGCCCCCAGUGCCAAGGGAGACAGGAGGAUACAGAGAGGAGCAGUGCUGAGGCUUCAGUCACCCAUCUCGUCUCUAAACCCUUCUCUGCAGAUUACCAUCUGAGUCACCACUUUCCGGUCGUCUGUGUCUUCAGUGAUCUGGACUUAGUUCAGGAAGCAUCUCCACCAGAAAGCUGCCCAAGAAGCCUCCCCUCCUAGCUCAUGGGCUGGGUGAAGUGCCCGUCAUCCAACUCCAUAACACCUGUCAUAAAAUAUCGAGGACAUUCAGUCACUUUUCAGUCUCCCUACUUGACUGUUCCUGUCUUUCUCAUCCAUGGCCUCCUCAUACCCGUUUAAAGGAAAUAAACUUCUUUCU